rnacentral:rRNA from 2 species
UACGUAGGAUGCAAGCGUUGUCCGGAAUUAUUGGGCGUAAAGAGCGAGCAGGCGGCAUAUCAAGUUGGACGUGAAAUUUUAGGGCUUAACCCUAAAGGGUCGUCCAAAACUGGUAAGCUAGAGUGCAGGAGAGGAAAGCGGAAUUCCCGGUGUAGUGGUGAAAUGCGUAGAUAUCGGGAGGAACACCAGAGGCGAAGGCGGCUUUCUGGCCUGUAACUGACGCUGAGGCGCGAAGGCUGGGGUAGCGAACAGG